AUAUCAAUAAGCGGAGGAAAAGAAACCAACAGGGAUUGCCCUAGUAACGGCGAGUGAAGCGGCAACAGCUCAAAUUUGAAAUCUGGAGCCUUCGGCUUCCGAGUUGUAAUUUGAAGAGGAUGUUUCGGUUGCGGCUUGGGCCUAAGUUCCUUGGAACAGGACGUCAUGGAGGGUGAGAAUCCCGUAAAUGGCCCCCGGCUUGCUUCCAUGUGAAGCUCCUUCGAAGAGUCGAGUUGUUUGGGAAUGCAGCUCAAAAUGGGUGGUAAAUUUCAUCUAAAGCUAAAUAUUGGCGGGAGACCGAUAGCGCACAAGUAGAGUGAUCGAAAGAUGAAAAGCACUUUGAAAAGAGAGUUAAACAGUACGUGAAAUUGUUGAAAGGGAAGCGCUUGCAAUCAGACUCGCUUUCGGUUGAUCAACGUUCCUUCUGGUUCGUGCACUCUGCCGUUUGCGGGCCAGCAUCAGUUGGGGCGGCGGGACAAAGACGGCGGGAAUGUGGCUCCCCUCGGGGAGUGUUAUAGCCCACCGUGCCAUGCCGCCAGCCCCGAUUGAGGUCCGCGGUUCGCCUAGGAUGCUGGCUUAAUGGUUGUAAGCGA
rnacentral:rRNA from 1 species